UCUCUACUGAAGAGUUCCAAAUAGGACGAAACGAAUGUCUUGGAA
rfam:Schistosoma haematobium scaffold675_4, whole genome shotgun sequence.